rnacentral:rRNA from 1 species
UACGGAGGGGGCUAGCGUUGUUCGGAAUUACUGGGCGUAAAGCGCACGUAGGCGGCUUGGUAAGUUAGAGGUGAAAGCCCGGGGCUCAACCCCGGAACUGCCUUUGAAACUAGAUUGCUAGAAUCCUGGAGAGGUGAGUGGAAUUCCGAGUGUAGAGGUGAAAUUCGUAGAUAUUCGGAAGAACACCAGUGGCGAAGGCGGCUCACUGGACUGGUAUUGACGCUGAGGUGCGAAAGCGUGGGGAGCAAACAGG